AUUGAACGCUGGCGGCAGGCCUAACACAUGCAAGUCGAGCGGAUGAAGGGAGCUUGCUCCUGGAUUCAGCGGCGAACGGGUGAGUAAUGCCUAGGAAUCUGCCUGGUAGUGGGGGAUAACGUCCGGAAACGGGCGCUAAUACCGCAUACGUCCUGAGGGAGAAAGUGGGGGAUCUUCGGACCUCACGCUAUCAGAUGAGCCUAGGUCGGAUUAGCUAGUUGGUGGGGUAAAGGCCUACCAAGGCGACGAUCCGUAACUGGUCUGAGAGGAUGAUCAGUCACACUGGAACUGAGACACGGUCCAGACUCCUACGGGAGGCAGCAGUGGGGAAUAUUGGACAAAGGGCGAAAGCCUGAUCCAGCCAUGCCGCGUGUGUGAAGAAGGUCUUCGGAUUGUAAAGCACUUUAAGUUGGGAGGAAGGGCAGUAAGUUAAUACCUUGCUGUUUUGACGUUACCAACAGAAUAAGCACCGGCUAACUUCGUG
rnacentral:rRNA from 1 species